UACUAGAGUAGCACUCGCAUAUCAAUAAGCGGAGGAAAAGAAACUAACAAGGAUUCCCCUAGUAACGGCGAGUGAAGCGGGAAGAGCUCAAAUUUGAAAUCUUAAAGGGUUUCCCUUUACGAAUUGUAGUUUAAAGAAGUGUUUUCUGUUGAGGUUUUGGUAAAAGUUCUUUGGAAUAGGACAUCAUAGAGGGUGAGAAUCCCGUAUUUGACCUUUACUUUCAACUUUGUGAUACACUUUCAAAGAGUCGGAUUGUUUGGGAAUGCAGUCCAAAAUGGGUGGUAAAUUUCAUCUAAAGCUAAAUAUUGGCGAGAGACCGAUAGCGAACAAGUACCGUGAGGGAAAGAUGAAAAGAACUUUGAAAAGAGAGUUAAACAGUACGUGAAAUUGUCAAAAGGGAAGCGUUUGACACCAGUGUUGUUUUUCUGAAAAUCAAUUAAAGAACUGUUUAUGCUAAGCUGUUUAGACUUUAUCAGCUAAUCUGUUUAGUUUUGAGCUUUUCUUUAAUGCACUUUUCAGUUAACAAGUCAACAUCAAUUUCUUUUGCUGUAAAAAAGCUUGAGGAAGGUGGCUUGAGAUUCGUCUUAAGUGUUUAUAGCCUCUUGCCUAUGCAGUCGGAGAGAUUGAGGUCUGCAGCGUAGAUCCUUCGGGGCUAAAUGCAUUUGUGCUAAGUUAUAGCAUUUUAUAGACAACUUGUUGACUAUGAUUUGUCUUGUAGCUUACUCGCUUAUGUUAUUUUACCUACGCUUAGGAUGUUGAGCGCAUGUCUCUCUCU
rnacentral:rRNA from 1 species